rnacentral:rRNA from 1 species
UACGUAGGGAGCAAGCGUUGUCCGGAAUCAUUGGGCGUAAAGCGCGCGUAGGUGGCCCGGUAAGUCCGCUCUGAAAGUCACAGGCUCAACCUGUGAAAGCGGGUGGAUACUGCCGGGCUAGAGUCCGGAAGAGGCGAGUGGAAUUCCUGGUGUAGCGGUGGAAUGCGCAGAUAUCAGGAGGAACACCCGUAGCGAAGGCAGCUCGCUGGGACGGUACUGACGCUGAGGCGCGAAAGCGUGGGGAGCAAACAGG